UGGUGGAAGGGAGUGGAUUCGAACCACCGAACCCGAAGGAGCGGAUUUACAGUCCGCCGCGUUUAGCCAGACUUCGCUACCCUUCC
rnacentral:tRNA from 1 species